UAAGAUGGCUGAGUGGUAAGCGGUGGAUUGUAGACCCACGAACGGGGGUUCUACUCCUGGUGUUGC
rnacentral:tRNA from 1 species